rnacentral:rRNA from 1 species
GAUCCUGGCUUAGGAUGAACGCUAGCUACAGGCUUAACACAUGCAAGUCGCGGGCAGCAUGGUCUUAGCUUGCUAAGACCGAUGGCGACCGGCGCACGGGUGAGUAACGCGUAUCCAACCUUCCCCUUAGUAGGGCAUAGCCCGGCGAAAGUCGGAUUAAUACCCUAUGUUUUCCAAUGCAGGCAUCUAAAAUGGAACAAAGAUUCAUCGCUAAGGGAUGGGGAUGCGUCUGAUUAGGUAGUCGGCGGGGUAACGGCCCACCGAGCCUGCGAUCAGUAGGGGUUCUGAGAGGAAGGUCCCCCCACAUUGGAACUGAGACACGGUCCAAACUCCUACGGGAGGCAGCAGUGAGGAAUAUUGGUCAAUGGGCGAGAGCCUGAACCAGCCAAGUAGCGUGCAGGACGACGGCCCUAUGGGUUGUAAACUGCUUUUAUGCGGGGAUAAAGUGCGGGACGUGUCCCGCUUUGCAGGUACCGCAUGAAUAAGGACCGGCUAAUUCCGUGCCAGCCGCCGC